AGUGAACGCUGGCGGCGUGCUUAACACAUGCAAGUCGAACGAGAACGGGCUAUAGCUUGCUAUAGUUGUCAGCUAAGUGGCGCACGGGUGAGUAAUGUAUAGGUAAUAUGCCUCUUACUAAGGGAUAACAAAUGGAAACGUUUGCUAAUACCUUAUACUCCUUAUUAACAUAAGUUAAUAAGGGAAAGAUUUAUUGGUAAGAGAUUAGCCUGUAUUGUAUCAGUUAGUUGGUGGGGUAAUGGCUUACCAAGACUAUGACACAUAACUGGUUUGAGAGGAUGAUCAGUCACACUGGAACUGAGACACGGUCCAGACUCCUACGGGAGGCAGCAGUGGGGAAUAUUGCACAAUGGACGAAAGUCUGAUGCAGCAACGCCGCGUGGAGGAUGACACAUUUCGGUGCGUAAACUCCUUUUAUAUGAGAAGAUAAUGACGGUAUUAUAUGAAUAAGCACCGGCUAACUCCGUGCCAGCCGCCGCAAUAA
rnacentral:rRNA from 1 species